CAAUCAGGCUGCUACAGAAACUCAGCAUUUAUUGACAGGGCACACUGUUUUUGAUCUGUCUAGAAAUGGAGGCAUUAUGAAGUGCACUUGCCAGUACCUGUGUUAAUUGAUGAGUCUCUCUUUUACACAAUCAUAGUUAUGAGCAGCCCAAGAGGAGGAACAAUGGUAGCUCCAGAAGUUCUAACAGGAAGAGGAAAGGGUCAGAGAUUUUAUUAAGAAAAGAAUUUUGGAGGAGUAAUCAGCGGAUUUGACUUGAAACAAUAGCUGCAGAAUAUGUUUAAUUUUGAAGAUCUACACUUUUAUUUCAGAGAAGUAUGGAGGGGCACAAUGAGUAAAUACAAAUGUUUGGUCCACUAUCUUGGAUCAGAAGGCUAGCCGAACAUCUUGGAUUCCACUGAGCUAAUUGACAUUGUAUAAUAAUGAAAAAAAUAAACAAAUUUCUCAAGACUCAAAAUAUCUAAGAAUGUAGGUCAAGAACAUUUAAGAGGGGGAAGAUGGGUGUAAAUAUCUGAGAACAUUCUGGGGAAAGGAGUUACAGUGAUGAACAAAGAAGACAUAUUUGAGAAGUGAAGAAUACAGACAAGUAAGCAGACAAAUACGAGACCGUGAUAAACCCUACCAUGAUCCAAUGAUCAGGUGCUAUGGGAACAUAAAGACAGACAUAUGCUUGGAACGAGGAGUCAGGAAAAUGUUCCCAGGGGAAAUGACAUCUCUGAAACCUAAAGGAUUUGAGAGGAACUCAUCAUGGCUGAGACAUCAUCUGUGAGGUGGAGAAUUGUGAGGCCUGAGGCAGGAGACAUAAGCAGAAAAAUUAUAAAGGAACAUCUGCCCCCACACUAGAGAGCUUGAACUUGACCAUGAGGGCAAAGAGAAGAGCAACUAAAGGGGUUGAGAUUGGGAUGCAACAAGGUCUGAUUUGCAUUUGAGAAAGAUCUCUCUUGCUAUAAUAUGUGGAAUGUGUUAAGAGAUGAAAACAACUGGGCACCUGGUGCUGGGAACUCAGAUAGGAGUCUGUGACCAUAACCCAGGAAAGCGGGGAGAAGGCCUUAGACUAAAAUAGUAGCAGUAGACUAGAGACAAGUGGAUAGAAUCAAUCUGGAGGGCAUGUCUGUGGCAGAGUCCACAAGGGUAGGAGGAAGGGCAUAAAGCUGUAGGCUAAAUGUGCUUUUUUAUCGGAGUCUGAGGACCCCAGAAUGUUCAGCUGCUCAGAGCAGGGCUUCCUGUGGGCUCCUUCUGUUUGCAGCCUGUUUCACCUUUCACAACGCAGCAUUAUUUGGUCUCCCCCUUUCCACAAAGGGCCUGUUCUCUGAACCUCUGUGGUCCAUUUUCCAUCUCCCUCCAACCCCACCUGAAACAGUGGCCUUUCCUCCUCACCUUCCCACCCACCCCAACCCUGUACACUUCCCAAAGCCCAAGAUAGUCCCUAUGGAGUGACUUCUUGAGGGCUUCUAUUGAAAAGGCAGGGAUAGCCCUUGACUCUAUAGAGUUGACGGCAGAUAGUGGAUGAUGGAGGGAGAGAGGUAAUCCAGGAAACUGGUCCUUUUUAAGAUUGUAGUGGUUUAGGAUGCUAAAGCCAGAGGAUCACUUAAGGCCAGGAGUGAGUUCAAGACCAGCCUGAGUAACAUAGCAGUACUCCCAUCUCCCAUCUCCACAACAAACAAACAAAACAUUAGUUGGGCAUAAUGGCACGUGCCUGUAAUCCCAGCUACUCAGAAGGGAGGAUCACUUGAGCCCAGGAAUUAGAGGCUGCAAUGAGCUAUGGUCAUGCCAUUGUAUUCCAGCCUAGGAGGCAAAGUGAGACCCUGUCUCUUCUCUUUUGUUUAUUUUAUAGAUGGUCCAUCAGUCACUAGUGAAAAAAUUUAUAUACGUGCACAUGCAUACACACAGGCAUACUGAUACAGUUUGGCUGUGUCCCCACCCAAAUCUCAUCUUGAAUUGUAGCUCCCAUAAUCCCCAUGUGUCUUGAGGGGAGCUGGUGGGAGGUAAUUGAAUCAUGGGGAUAAGUUUUUCCCAUGCUGUCCUUGUGAUAGUGAAUAAGUCUCGUGAGAUCCGAUGGUUUUAUAAAGGGCAAUUCCCCUGCACACACGCUCUUGCCUGCCACCAUGUAAGAUGUGCCUUUGCUCCUCCUUCACCUUCCACCAUGAUUGUGAGGCCUCCACAGCCAUGUGGAACGGUGAGUCCGUUAAACCUCUUUUUCUUUAUAAAUUACCGUCUCGGGCAUUUCUUCACAUAGCAGUAGGAAAAUGGACUAAAACACACACAAAGCUCCAACAUACACAUACACACACACCCUCCAAAGGACAAUUAUUAAUUCUCAAAUAUAUACAGCCUAUAAAAUAAGAAAAAAUAAACAUUUUCCUAACUGCCUCAUAAUUUGCAAGUCACCUUUCUUACACAUAGAGUCAGUGUUUUAUUUCCUCCUUCUUCACUUUCAAUUUGUGCUUCUUCAUUCCUAGCAGGAAUAAGAAAGAGCCUACUGCUGAGUUAAAACACCUCUUCAUAAUUACUUCCAAGCCUCCCUCACACCAAAACACCGGAAGACUUGAGUGAGCAGAUCAAUGCCACAGGCAAAUGACUCAGUGAAAAUCUUGAAUGUUUGCUAAGAUCUCCUGCAGCAUCCCAGGUCAAAGAGGCUGACUCAGAGGGCCCUACUCCCACUGCUGUCCCUGACACACAUUGGAGAGGCCUUGAGACAUGCUGCCUCUGAAGUCGGUAUCAUGUGACUCACAACCUAGAUCUGGGGGACAUGGCUUUAGUGGUGGUGGUGUUUGCCUUUCAGUUCUUAAGAAUUUUUUUUUAACAGUUGUUGUCAUUUCUUUGUUUAAUGAUUGUAAAAUAAGUGCUCAAUAUUAAACAUUUGGAAAGAACAGAAAGUUUUUUAGAACAGUAGAGAAACAAUUAUCAUAAUCCCAUCCAGAAGUAAUCACUGUAAACAUUUGAGUCAUUUCUGUUUUUUUGUUUGUUUGUUUUUUUGAGAGUCUCACUCUGUCACCCAGGCUGGAGUGCAGUGGCAUGAUCUUAGCUCACUGCAAUCUUUGCCCCCCGGGUUCAAGCGAUUCUCCUGCCUUGGCCUUCUGAAUAGCUGGGAUUACAGGUGUGGGCCACCACGCCCGGCUAUUGUUUGUAUUUUUAGUAGAGAAGAGGUUUCACCAUGUUGGCCAGGCUGGUCUCAAGCUACUGGCCUCAGGUGAUCCACUCGCCUCAGCCUCCCAAAGUGCUGGGAUGAUAGGCAUGAGCCAAGCCACCUGUCCUGUCAUUUCUUUUAGACCAGCGUUUCUCAACCUCAAAAAACAAUUGACAUUUUGGACUGUUUAAUGCUGUCAGGGGCUGUCCUGUGCACUGCAGGAUGUUCAGCAGCAUCCCUGGCCUCUACGUAUUAGAUGCCAAUAGCACUUCACUCCCCAACCCCA
rnacentral:lncRNA from 10 species